AGAGAGAGACAUGCGCGCAUAUCAAUAAGCGGAGGAAAAGAAACUAACUAGGAUUCCCCUAGUAACGGCGAGUGAAGCGGGAAGAGCUCAAAUUUGAAAUCUUAAAGGGUUUCCCUUUACGAAUUGUAGUUUAAAGAAGUGUUUUCUGUUGAGGUUUUGGUAAAAGUUCUUUGGAAUAGGACAUCAUAGAGGGUGAGAAUCCCGUAUUUGACCUUUACUUUCAACUUUGUGAUACACUUUCAAAGAGUCGGAUUGUUUGGGAAUGCAGUCCAAAAUGGGUGGUAAAUUUCAUCUAAAGCUAAAUAUUGGCGAGAGACCGAUAGCGAACAAGUACCGUGAGGGAAAGAUGAAAAGAACUUUGAAAAGAGAGUUAAACAGUACGUGAAAUUGUCAAAAGGGAAGCGUUUGACACCAGUGUUGUUUUUCUGAAAAUCAAUUAAAGAACUGUUUAUGCUAAGUUGUUUAGACUUUAUCAGCUAACUGUUUAGUUUUGAGCUUUUCUUUAAUGCACUUUUCAGUUAACAAGUCAACAUCAAUUUCUUUUGCUGUAAAAAAGCUUGAGGAAGGUGGCUUGAGAUUCGUCUUAAGUGUUUAUAGCCUCUUGCCUAUGCAGUCGGAGAGAUUGAGGUCUGCAGCGUAGAUCCUUCGGGGCUAAAUGCAUUUGUGCUAAGUUAUAGCAUUUUAUAGACAACUUGUUGACUAUGAUUUGUCUUGUAGCUUACUCGCUUAUGUUAUUUUACCUACGCUUAGGAUGUUGAGCGCAUGUCUCUCUCU
rnacentral:rRNA from 1 species